AGCGGCGGAUGGGUGAGUAACACGUGGGGAACCUGCCCCUAAGUCUGGGAUACCAUUUGGAAACAGGUGCUAAUACCGGAUAAUAAAGCAGAUCGCAUGAUCAGCUUUUGAAAGGCGGCGUAAGCUGUCGCUAAGGGAUGGCCCCGCGGUGCAUUAGCUAGUUGGUAAGGUAACGGCUUACCAAGGCGACGAUGCAUAGCCGAGUUGAGAGACUGAUCGGCCACAUUGGGACUGAGACACGGCCCAAACUCCUACGGGAGGCAGCAGUAGGGAAUCUUCCACAAUGGACGCAAGUCUGAUGGAGCAACGCCGCGUGAGUGAAGAAGGUUUUCGGAUCGUAAAGCUCUGUUGUUGGUGAAGAAGGAUAGAGGUAGUAACUGGCCUUUAUUUGACGGUAAUCAACCAGAAAGUCACGGCUAACUACGUGCCAGCAGCCGCGGUAAUACGUAGGUGGCAAGCGUUGUCCGGAUUUAUUGGGCGUAAAGCGAGCGCAGGCGGAAAAAUAAGUCUAAUGUGAAGGCCCUCGGCUUAACCGAGGAACUGCAUCGGAAACUGUUUUUCUUGAGUGAAGAAGAGGAGAGUGGAACUCCAUGCGUAGCGGUGGAAUGCGUAGAUAUAUGGAAGAACACCAGUGGCGAAGGCGGCUCUCUGGUCUGCAACUGACGCUGAGGCUCGAAAGCAUGGGUAGCGAGCAGAUUAGAUACCCUGGUAGUCCAUGCCGUAAACGAUGAGUGCUAAGUGU
rnacentral:rRNA from 1 species